GGUAUAAAAUUCAUCGAUUAUGUUUCAACCCGGUUGAUUCGCGAUUGUUGUUGAUGUCUCUGUGUAAUUCUCCUCCCUCUCCGAUCCAUUCACAAACCCAAGAUUUCAAUCUAAAGCAAUUGACGAUCUUUACUUUAUGUAUCACUCAUAUAUGUUCGUAUUUUAGGGUUUUUUAAACAACUGUUAUUUAAUCUAAAAUCUGAAUCUUGAAUCGUGUUUGAUGUUUUUUUUAUGGCGAGUCAGAGCAUUAACCAGAUACAUGACCUAAUUUCUUUAUUUUACUUUAAUAUUUGUGUGAUUUGAUCAGAUACAUGACUUAAUUUCUUUAUUUCCCCCAAUCGAUGUGCGUUUUGUUCAGAUAAAUGUCCUAAUUUCAUUUUUUUCGAAUGGAAGAAUUUCACUUGGUGAUGUUUUGUAUCUGAAUUUCUAUAUUUUAUAAUUAGUUUUUUCUUUCUUUAAAGUUCAGAAGGUAGAUUGUAUGAGGAUAUGAACACUUUUUUUGCCAUUGAAGAAUAUAUUAUAAACGGUACGGUUGUAUGUAAAUUCUUUUGGAUAUGAAUUAUAUUGUGCAUUGGUUAUUGUAUGUAUACAAGUAUUAGGUUUGAUAUCCAGUAUUUUGUUUACAAUUGAAAAGUUUUAAGACGCACACCAAGUGCUUGAUGAAAUGCUUCAGCAAAAGUGACUUCUAUUUCACAUGUUUUUAAUUGGGUUCUUAGUGUUCCAUGCUCUUUAAUUACAAAUUUAUUUGAGAUGUAAUUUAAUUUUUCUAUAGUAGUCUACAUUAUAAUAGUUAUACAUAUAAGUUGCUUUCUAACUGUUGAUGUCAACUUUGUUCCAAAACAUUUAUGGAAUAUGUUGCUGGAGGAGAGCUAUUUGACAAGUUUGUAGCGCAGCGCUUCAGUGACGAUGAGGUUCUACUAUCAGUCAAACAUAGCAAUCUAUAUUGUUAUAAAAUAAGUAACUAUAAAAACAUAAUAGGCUAACGACAAGUUUACAUGUAUUUUCUGGGCAGCGAAAAAUUUGCAGAGAUGAAACGCGAGACUGUAAAAUCGUCGGUCAUGUCAACAUUCUGAUAUGGCACUAAAGGAUACUAAAAACGACAUGUCAACAAGUGGCUUUAAACCGGGUAUGGUUGUGGCUUUUUUUCAUGAUUCUUCUAUCUCAAAUUCGUCUUAACCUCUAAUUCUUUGGUCUUUAAUGAAAGUUAUCGAAAACUAUGGAGUGUUGGAAUUGACUAUAUUGGCGAAAAUCGUCAAAGAAAAGCCCUAUCUAUUGAACUAUUAACACUCUUUUCUCAAAGGUAUCACACAAUAUUUUGCUUUUGUGGAAGAAAGGCAAAAGAUUCACCCCCUCAACACUCUUUUCUCAAAGGUCAAUGAGCUAAAAGCUGCUCUUGGACCGCUUAUGGGGCGUAGCUUACUAUACUGCAUUGAUGCAUGCUUGAGAAGAUAUUUGGAAGCCUGAAACUGGAAUGUAGAGAAAGCAAAAAGAUGUUGGAAGAAACACUUGCAUGGAGAUCAACCUAUAAACUUGAAGAAAUCUGUUGGGUAGCGUUUCAUGCACUAAAAUUUGCAAAACCAGUUAGAGAACUUGGUAACUGAAUUGCAAGAAGAAUCUGGAUUGAAGGCCCGAUUACAUUGUUCAAUCAUCCACCAUCCAGAGCCGAAGAGGAAACAGCUGGAACAACUUUGAUGUGGCAAUGGUACCAUGAGCUGGUAAACACGGCUGAAAUCAAUAAACUGCAGCAAAUUUGUCAUCUUGGCUUCCGCAUGUCUAUCUAUGAAUGAUGAUUGAUGGGUUUGGAGCUGCAUCAUACAAGUACGUUCUUGGCCAGCAAUACAAAGUAACGCUUUCAAUCUUACAACAAGUCCCAACCAUCAUAUAUAUUUAUGUGUAACUGGGUUCCUAAAAAGGUUGGUGUGUGAUUACUUUUUUCGAGUCAAAAUGGACAGGGUCGGGUUUGACCCAAUAAUCAUCUUUUAUCUUCUGUUUAAUUUACAUGUUAAAUAUGUUCUAGAAAAAGUACAUGUUGAUGGAGUGAGUAGGUGAAGUUGAUUUCAGGAUAUCUCCAACUGAGAUAACUGUUGCGAUUGAACAAGGUUUGAAGGAACCGGUAGAACCCGUGACUGAGGUAUUUAGUCAUGAAUUGUAUAUGUAAGGUUUGGUACAAUUAUAAUUGUAUAUGUUUAUCGAAUUCUUUUAUGUUUUUAUAUGCAGUUUAAGGUACCAAAGGACUUAAUAACCUCAACAUAGGUAACACAGGUGAAAGAUUUGAAGUUACAACUUUAACUGUCUUUUGUACCUACGGGUUCAUCAUAUUCUAACGCUCUUAGAUUCAAUCGACUAAUUUCUUUUAGAACGAAAAUCAGCUUCAUAUGUAUGUAUUUUGUGUUAAAGCUUCAUCUCAAAUUAGAUACCUAAAUUUGAAGAACUCGAUACCAUGAACAUGCUUCUCCGUCAAUGUAUUGUUUUCUUGGGAACCAAGGUAUUUAUACUAUGUUAAACAAUCACUAAAAUCUACGUUUACUCUUUCAAGGGAUGCAGCAUUGGGAGACAACUCCAGCCACUACAAUGGUGAAUAGUGAUAAAUCCAACCAUUGUAAACAUAUCCCACCACAUUUGCAGGUCAGCCAAAAACAUGUUUUUUUAUAAUACUGGCAACAAUAUGCAUGUACAGGCUUCAAAGACUACCACCAAAGACAACAACACAAUUCAACAAGAACUUAGUUUGCAUAGCUCAUUUCCAA